rnacentral:rRNA from 1 species
GACGAACGCUGGCGGCGUGCUUAACACAUGCAAGUCGAACGGAAAGGCCCUGCUUUUGUGGGGUGCUCGAGUGGCGAACGGGUGAGUAACACGGGAGUAACCUGCCCUUGACUUUGGGAUAACUUCAGGAAACUGGGGCUAAUACCGGAUAGGAGCUCCUGCUGCAUGGUGGGGGUUGGAAAGUUUCGGCGGUUGGGGAUGGACUCGCGGCUUAUCAGCUUGUUGGUGGGGUAGUGGCUAACCCAGGCUUUGACGGGUAGCCGGCCUGAGAGGGUGACCGGGCCCCAUUGGACCGGGGAGCCGCCCAGACUCCUACGGGAGGCAGCAGUGGGGAAUAUUGCACGAUGGGCGGAAGCCGGAUGCAGCAACGCCGCGUGCUGGAUGACUGCCUUCGGGUUGUAAACCGCUUUCGCCUGUGACGAAGCGUGAGUGACGGUAAUGGGUAAAGAAGCACCGGCUAACUACGUG